CUGCCCUCAAGCACGGCUUGUGUGUUGGGCCCCCGUCCCGGUUCUCCAGCCGGGACGGGCCCGAAAGGCAGCGGCGGCACCGUGUCCGGUCCUCGAGUGUAUGGGGCUCUGUCACCCACUCGUGUAGGUCCGGCCGGCGGCUAGCCUCAACCAAACUUUUUAAACCAGG
rnacentral:misc_RNA from 1 species